rnacentral:rRNA from 1 species
AAGAGACAGCAGUAGCCACGGUAAUACGUAGGUCCCGAGCGUUGUCCGGAUUUAUUGGGCGUAAAGCGAGCGCAGGCGGUUAGAUAAGUCUGAAGUUAAAGGCUGUGGCUUAACCAUAGUACGCUUUGAAAACUGUUUAGCUUGAGUGCAAGAGGGGAGAGUGGAAUUCCAUGUGUAGCGGUGAAAUGCGUAGAUAUAUGGAGGAACACCGGUGGCGAAAGCGGCUCUCUGGCUUGUAACCGACGCUGAGGCUCGAAAGCGUGGGGAGCAAACAGGAUUAGAUACCCGUGUAGUCCCUGUCUCUUAUACC